rnacentral:miRNA from 1 species
UGGACGUGCAGGGGGAUGUCUG